AAACGUAGGAGGCGAGCGUUAUCCGGAUUUACUGGGCGUAAAGCGUCUGUAGCCGGUUUAGAAAGUCUCUUGUUAAAUACCAAGGGCUCAACCUUUGGAAUGCAAGGGAAACUUUUAGACUUGAGGAUGUUAGGGGCUGAUGGAACUCUUGGUGGAGGGGUGGAAUCCGUUGAUAUCAAGAGGAACACCGAAAGCGAAGGCAUUCAGCUGGAACAAUCCUGACGGUGAGAGACGAAAGCGUGGGGAGCGAACGGGAUUAGAAACCCGGGUAGUCC
rnacentral:rRNA from 1 species